rnacentral:rRNA from 1 species
GAUGAACGCUAGCUACAGGCUUAACACAUGCAAGUCGCGGGGCAGCAUGGGGGUUGCUUGCAAUCCCCGAUGGCGACCGGCGCACGGGUGAGUAACGCGUAUCCAACCUGCCCUUCACCACGGGAUAACCCGGCGAAAGUCGGACUAAUACCGUAUGUUGUCCAUUGACGGCAUCCGAUUUGGACGAAAGGUUUGGCGGUGAAGGAUGGGGAUGCGUCCGAUUAGCUGGACGGCGGGGUGACGGCCCACCGUGGCGACGAUCGGUAGGGGUUCUGAGAGGAAGGUCCCCCACACUGGAACUGAGACACGGUCCAGACUCCUACGGGAGGCAGCAGUGAGGAAUAUUGGUCAAUGGGCGUAAGCCUGAACCAGCCAAGUAGCGUGCAGGAUGACGGCCCUAUGGGUUGUAAACUGCUUUUAUGCGGGGAUAAAGUGGCCCACGUGUGGGUUUUUGCAGGUACCGCAUGAAUAAGAACCGGCUAAUUCCGUG